rnacentral:lncRNA from 1 species
GGCGGGCUUGGCGCUGGCGAGGUGAGAGCUACAAACUUGAAGCGGCGCCAGGGCCAAGGUGUCAUCCUCUGUCGCCAUUGCAGGAGCCGCGAGGGUGCGCGGAUCCGAAUGGUGGCUGAUUGGGGGACCGAAGUACCCAGAGCACGUUUUGCCGCCAGGUUCUAGCCCUGGCCCGGUUUAUUCUCUCCUCGUUUAGGCUGUAGGCAGAGGAAAUCCUCACUAGAGGCCUUCUCCCCAUCCCGCUUCGCAGCCACAGUUGUUUCAUUAAGAAUCUCACCAGAAAUCCGUUUUCAGGUGAAGGACGUGUACUCAGCCCCUUGUGGCGCCUGGUUUUACUUGAUCACAUUGUGAUUCCAUCCUACGAACCACCCUAUAAGUUCACUUAACAGAGAGAAGUGGAGUGGUUCUUAGCAACCUUUUGCGAUGUAAGUUAACCAGCUCUCGAGGAGUCCGUAUUUACACGUUGCGGGGAUAAUGAUAGGCCUUCCUACUGGUCCUGAGUUUUACUGUGAUGCUUCCCCCUUUGCCCUCUGUUUGGAUGUCCAUUUCCACCUUUGGCCUGGGUUCCACAAAGUUAAAGGAACCCAGUACUCUUAUUCCCACGCUGCCUCCGGAAGGUAAAUCUGCUCAAAGGCGAUCUGCGUGCUGUAGCAGCUAAGAUUUGAAUCCAGACGUCAGGACCCAGUACCUUCCCUACAAAUCCCUGUGUGGUCCAGUCAAAGAACUAAAUGCAAGCAGGCGACCACCUCGACCGCAUGCUACUCCUUGGUAACCCUGGCUCCCGCAGCCAGAAAAAGGGGGAAAGCGACACCAAGAAUCCAUUCCAAACGAAAAACCAAGAGGAGACGCGGCAGCUCCCAGAUGUUGAUGUUUUGUUUUUUUGACAUAAAUCUUCGCACUCAUAUGGGAGUUUUCAUUGAUUCAUGUUCCCAUCUGCUGAAUUUCCUUUUAUUUAUUUAAUAUUGCUUUUUGGGGAAAUCUUGCUUCGAAGCUCUGGAGAAGCAUAAACCGUGCCAGCCACUGCAGCCCUCCUCCCUCUUGCAAGCCUUGGCUGCUGGGGGCAGGGAGAUGCGGUGGCGUCCUGCAGAGUGGGUGCUGGGCAUCCUCGAGGAGGGGCUGGCGCUGCAAGCCUGCACUAAUGUGGCGAUUCUGUCUCUUCCGAGCCUUCCAGAGGCAGCGGGAGAGGUAGAGUGAGGAAGAGGGGAAGAGAGAGGCAGACUGGCUGACUGUUCCUCAUGCUUUCUGCUCAUCCCCAACACUUCAUACGUCCCUUUUGCACUAAAGUACACUUUGCUUUUGACACCUUGGAUAGUAGGAAACGUUUAACAGUGGGCAUCUAUAUUAAUAAGAUUGUGCCUCUCCCCGUCCAACCAGUACCCUUCCACCUCAAUAGUGAUCCGUCAGUAAUUACAAACUCUAACUCUGGAGUCAGACUAAAAUCUUGUCGACUUUCCAGAGGGAAUUCUUGAACAAAUUUACUUUUUAAGAGCUUUGGGUUUCCU